GUGUCAGCAGCCGCGGUAAUACGGAGGGUGCAAGCGUUAUCCGGAUUCACUGGGUUUAAAGGGUGCGUAGGUGGAUCGAUAAGUCAGUGGUGAAAGCCCCGAGCUCAACUUGGGAAUUGCCAUUGAUACUGUUGAUCUUGAGUGCGGUUGAGGUAGACGGAAUAUGUCAUGUAGCGGUGAAAUGCUUAGAUAUGACAUAGAACACCAAUUGCGAAGGCAGUUUACCAAGCCGAUACUGACACUGAGGCACGAAAGCGUGGGGAUCAAACAGGAUUAGAAACCCCCGUAGUCC
rnacentral:rRNA from 1 species